rnacentral:misc_RNA from 1 species
AGGUUGCAGCUGGAUUGAGGUAACAUAUGAGGUGCAUGCGUUUCUAUAGGGGACAAGGCUCAUCCGAGGUGUGAAGAGAUUUAUGAAAUGCUUGGUUUGCCAAUUGGCGAUAUGAAAUGGGAUUGAUGCAUACCUGAUAUUGAUUUUCCCCUUGAUGAGUAGGCAGAGGAAUAUGAGCAUCCAGAAGAGCUAAGAACCAGUGCAUAAAACCUAUAGUUCAGCAACUGACAUGGUAAAUAUGGGAUUUUUGA